CGGAGCCGCUUGGCGCGAGGGCGGCCAGGGAACAGCGGUGCCGCGGGCGGAGGGACGGGCGUCAGGGUGAGCUGGAGAUGGUGGACCACCUCGCAAACACCGAGAUCAACAGCCAGCGCAUUGCUGCUGUGGAGAACUGCUUUGGGGCUUCUGGACAACCCUUAGCUGUGCCAGGGAGAGUCCUUUUGGGAGAAGGGAUUUUAACCAAAGAAUGCCGCAAGAAACCAAAGCCUCGCAUAUUCUUCCUGUUCAAUGACAUCCUCGUGUAUGGGAGCAUAGUGAUUAACAAAAGGAAGUACAAUUCCCAGCACAUCAUUCCCCUUGAAGAUGUCACUUUGGAGACGCUGCCCGACACCUUGCAGAUGAAGAACCGCUGGAUGAUCAAAACCUCAAAAAAGUCCUUUGUGGUUUCUGCGGCCUCCCUGACGGAGCGGAAGGAGUGGAUCAGCCAUCUGGAGGAGUGCAUCAGGCACCUGCUGACAAAGACGGGCAGGCAGCCCUCCACAGAGCACGCGGCCCCCUGGAUCCCCGACAAGGCGACAGACAUCUGCAUGCGCUGCACGCAGACCAAGUUCUCCACGCUCACUCGAAGGCACCACUGCCGCAAGUGUGGCUUUGUGGUGUGUGGAGACUGCUCCAGGCAGAGGUUUUUGAUGCCCCGGCUGUCCCCCAAGCCCCUGAGGGUCUGCAACCUGUGCUACAGGCAGCUGCUGGCAGAACAGAAGAAGGAAGAGGAGGCUGACUGUCGGCAGCCGGGGCGGUACCGUUCUGCCAUCCCAGGCUAUGAACCCUCCAGUGGUGAUGACAGUGACAAGUCUGAUGAUUACAAAGUUGACCAGUGGCCAGCAGACACAGAGUUUUAUACCUCAGAGGUGUCUUGGUCAUCUUUCCAUAGCUGACCUCCUUGAGAACCAGCGGUGUUUUCAUAUUGGGAAGCCAACUUCUGGCCUCCAAUGCAUGUCCUUCUUGGUGUGUUCUGCGGAGGCCGUGCCUGGGAAGGUGGAUAUUGGCCCCUGUUUGUGCUGUCUGCAAGGGGAACAAAGGUCAUGGACUACCCCAGGUCAUUCUGAGAACGUCUCCUAUACACAAGCACAGAAUGACAGCUUAGAGAAGAGGCUGGACUAGAGAUCAGUCUUGAUCCAAGUGAGUUCACCUUUCUGUGCCUUAAUCUUCCUGUCUGCAAAAGUGGAGCAAUAAUACUCUUGGGAAAAAAAAGGAGCUAGCAAUCAUAGCAAUCCUUGGCUGAAAUACACUUGCCUGCUCGUGUUGAAUUCCUCCUUCAGAGGUGACGGGACCUUCAGACCCUUCUGGGGCUCUGCAGAAAACUGGUGCUUUUGCUUCCCAUGAGGCAUUCUCUGCAAAGAACAGAGAACUUCUAGGGCAGGCUCUUUUCACAGGUAUUACAUCAACUUUAGAGAUUGUCAUUGCAGCUGUGCAAACCUGCCUCUCCUCAGUGGGUGGUGAGAUAGGUAUGGACUUUGACUUCUACACCAGAAAUUCUGAACUUCGGAAACACUAAGGAAAUGGCACUGUGAAUGCAUAUGAGGCUCAUCAAAGGGCUGGGGCUCUCAUAGAAAGAAAUCGUGAUAUCAGAUAUGUGUGCUAUCAGACAAGGAAGGGAGGGAUGGGAAGAGGGACAGGUAUGUUUAUACAAAGGAGAGAAGGAAAAGGUUUACUGCAGCUGACUCAAGAGCAGAGCCCCAGAUCUCAGAACCAGGCAGUUUCACCAGAUUGCUAGAGAGCUGAUGACCUCAAGCCUAUCAGGAAAAAGAGUUGCCCAGGGAAGACUUUUAGCAAGUCUUAAUCUGGGGCAUUUUUCUAGAAUUUUUAAAAUCAAAGAGGUUCAGCAUUUUGAUUCCCACUCCCUUCCUGAAAAAGACCUCAAGGAACUGAACACUCCUGUGCUCCCUCACUUGUAUCAGUUGCACAAGUCCAAACUUAAUGUCCUUCAUGCAUCUUCAGGGCUGGAGCACAAGAAAAUUAAUUUGAGAUGAACUUAAAAGUUCAAAAUAAAUUCAAAUAUUUGAAUAAACACAGUUUACUUCUGUCAUAAUGUAGUGCUGGAGUAAAUAUGCUGAAAAUCAGACAACAGCAAUUAUAUUGCAGCAGACAAUUUCCACCAACUCAGUUAAUAAUUUUAGUAUAUUUUUGUAUGGUGUAUUUUAUUUUCUGGGAAAGGAACAUGGCUGAGAAUACACCGUCAAUGUUAUGAACCAUUUCCUUACCAGUUUCUGGUCUAAAUAUGGCAUUGAAUUCCACGUGGCCAGAUUUAGAUUUUUUUUAAAUUUAAGCUCAGAGUAAUCAUUCUUACUUUAUUUUGUAAACUGCCACUGUCCAAUCAAUUUGUAUUACUUGACUGUGUGGGAAUAAAGAUACAGCCACCAGGAAGAAGCCAGAAAAUGUCAGUGAAGUGUGUUGUUAUUUUACAUGAGCCUUAAAAAAGACAGAUGCUGUGAUUCAGGCAUGGCCAGCCAGCAUGAAAUCCAGCUCUUAGCAACUCUUCAGCCAUGAGAUGAACAUUCUAGUCUUGUAUUUGCUACCAGAAGUACUUCUGCCAAGGACUCAUUAAAAUCUGAAAAAAACAGCAGAAGGAGCAGCAGUCUGAAUGCUCACUUGGAAAAAACAUGCAGGCAGGAGAGUUUGUGGAGUCACAGCCACUCCCUAAAGGACUCCCAAACACAAUGUGUGGGGAUUAGUUGCCAGAAAGGUUUCCUUGCACAGGUUCCUGCCUGAAGAUGUUGAGACCCAAACACAGCAGCACUGUGUGACCAUUCCAGCAGGGGUGGCUGGUUCAGGAAAUCCAACUGGCUGAAAUUGGGUCUUUCUGUUCCUUUGAGCAGAAUCUGGAACCCAGUCACUGUAAGAGAAACGCAAGAGAUUUUUGGCACUCAGCAAAAUCUCUGCUUUGCAGCUGGGCACACGAGUCAGAUGACAGUCCCCAAAGCUGCAAGAGAACAAGAGAAACAAAACUGGAAUGUUACCAGACCUACUGAAGCUGCUGGGGUUUCUCCAUCAGUGACAGGCAAACAGAGAUAAAGGCAUUGCUGUGAUGAAAUCCACAUUAGCCCUUCACAAUCCCUGGGAAGGAAGAAGAGACACUGCCACAGCAGCCAGUCACAAAAGCAGAAUAAAAGCAGGGAAAUGUGAUCUGUGAGUAAACUGAAAAGAAAGGAUGGAAGGGUUUCGGUGGAGAGGCGUGUUCCUGCCUGAGGCACAGCCAUGGAACACCACAAGCUCUGGAGCACACUGCUGACUCAGCACAACGUCCAGCCAUCUGAAGGCAGCACAGUGAAGUGAGCCAGCUCCACAGUUCCAAGUUACUCAAAUAGUUUUUAUCCCAGGCAGAAGUUCUGGCUCUGCCACAGCCCAGGGCCUCUUCCAUCUCACUACAACUGCAAAGCAGUUUUUCCUCAGCUUGGGAUUUUUGGUUAACAAAGGAAUGACAAGCACAGAUGGACCCAACCACAGCAGAGCUUUAAAGAGACAUGUCUCAAACUAAAAACAGAGGCUCCUACUUCUGUCUGUUUCUGCUCCAAGCCUCUCCAAGCCACUCUAUGCUUUCUGUUAUUUCCACUGUGGACACAGUAACAGAAAGUAACUUCAAGAAACUCUUGCCCAGCCACCCCAGAUAGAAACACUGGAGGGGCUCUCCCAGAAGCGCUCUUCACCAGGGGUGCAGCAAACAGCCAGGGCUGCUCUACACCAUACAUCACACACACAAAUCAUGGUGCAGCACACUGUAUGAGAAAGAGCCUUUACUGCCUCUGGACUUGCUCACAAAACCUCAGAGCAGCACUCAGUGCUGUGUUCUUGAGGUAGCAGCUGAAGGAGAGGCAUGCAGGAAAAUGGUUACCAAACAUGCAGUAGCACUGAGCAGCUCCCUUUGAAGGCAGUGCUGGGCUUCCUUUCCAGCAAGACCUGGCAGUGACAAUAAACCAUAAGCAGGUUCUCUGUUCACCUCUCCGACUCUCACAGCCCAGGGCAUGUUACACAAUCUCCCUGUCGCUGUUCCAUCAGCCAGAGCUCUCACAACACUUCUGUGCAGCCCAGGGCUGGGCUGGGCAAUGGGCACAGUGCUGCUGGUGCCAGCUGUGUGUGGCCGCUGGGCACUGAGGGAAGCUUUGGUACCUAUUUCAUCAGAGCAGACUUGGUCUCUAGAUAUUUGUCCUAAAGACAAUCUGAGUGUUUUGUUUUAGAAAAACAGGAUUUGAGAAAGGAAAAGCAUUAACUCAAGGCCAGAUGGGCCUCUUCCUCUAACAGAAGAAGAAAAGGUCACACGUGGCUUUUAUCAUAGAUGCAGCAUAUAAGGUAAAAGCAGAUGCCUUAGUUGUUUCAUACAUGAAGGCUCCUCCAGAGAUACCAGACGGAAAAUAAGGGUGGCACCACGGCCUUUCAGCAGAUCUGUUCCUUCUCCCAUGAAAGCCCACAGAGGGACCAUCUUCAUGGCACACCCCCACAGCCUGCCUUCAGGCACACGGCCUGGCUGAGAUCAGCUGGGUUGAGUGCGAGCUGCCAGAGCCUGCUUACUGCCAGGCCCAGCAGUAACAGGCCGUAUGUGACACGCUGCCCCAGGUGCCUGAGCACCACUGACAGCAGCACCCAGCGACUGUCCAGACCACCUGAAUGGCUUGGAUACUGCAGUGCAAGCUGGCAACACAGAAACACACACGAGAACAACCAGUGCCCAGCUCGCUGCACCCAAGUCACUAUUUUGUUUUCAUCAGAGUUUCUGUCUUGAAGAAUGUUUACUCAGCAGCAAGUUUCAGAUAAACCAGUUUCUAGCAUUUCAAAAUGUGCUCAAACAAUCUUGUUUACUGACCAGCCUCUAGAAACCAAGCAGCCCAGCUAGACUUCACAGUGCAUGGCUUUCUCAGCCUGCAGGUCUUUGCUCGUUCAUCCCCAACCCCAGCCGGUGUCAGUGGCACUGGUGAUGUGGCCAGGGAAGGGCUUGGCCUACAGGUAUCAUGCAGCCUCCAUGUUUGUUCUUUCUCUUAGAACCACCUUCUAUAUAAGUGCAAGACGUGCAUGCCAGCAGGCUGAGCAAACCCAUGCAUCUGUCCCAACAGGUCUGUAUAGAUCCCAGCAGGCACUUCAGCAGGGACAUCACACAAUGUGGCCAUCUGUUUGCAAGGAUGGAGCCUUAAUGAUGAGAGAUUCUCCAAAACCCAGAUAGUAAAGAGCUACAGUGUUGAUUAGUGAAGGGUGACAGAUAGAGGCUGUCACACUUUGCUGUUUCAAAACUUCAGAAGUACCUCUGCUGCUAUAAUACAGCAGUUAAUGCUAUGAUAGAACAGCACUAUCAGUAAAUGUACAGCAUGGAUUUUCCUAAUAUUGCCAUCUUUUCAACAGAAAAAGACGAAUUCUUUGUUCCACAGUGGAAUAAAAUUGGUUCAAAUCAGACACUAGAAAUGCCAGUUUCAUAGCCCAGCUUUGUUACAAAUACUCCCACCAAAUCAUAGAGCUUCUAUAUCUGCUUAUUACUUGCCCUCAUUUGUAGACAGCAAAUAUUUAUCAUAUUUCAUAUUGCUCCCUUGCAAUAAAGACAAAGCAGGAGGUACAAAGAGAGAUGCAAAAUCUUAUAGCAAGAGCCCAGUCCAUGAAGCCAGAUGGGAGCAGGAAGCCUGCAGGACUCCAACACACCCAUGGAGUUUGCUUCCUGUCACGGAGCAGUCAGAAGUGAGGCGACGAUUUCCAAAAUGGCAUUUACAUAACUCACGUAUAAGGCAGAGCCACUGAGUUACAGGCUUCUAAUAUGUGACCACAGCAGGUUUAUUCUAUUUAUAUUCCGUAGGCAUGUUACCCUCAUUAGAGCGGGAUUUGUAACAGCUAGUGUAACCAUCAGAGCAGGGCAGUCUUGCAUAGUAUGGCCCUGUUGCUGAAAACCCACUCCUUCCAUGAGCUUCAGCUUUUGAAGCAUGCUGGCAAUCACUAACAAAGCAUUCAACAUUUUAGCUGAUGUUCUCUUUCUCUCAGGGAACGCAAUAACCAAAAUCUAGCACAUGAUUGUAUCACAGCAGCAAUUCUAAAACACAUGCUUGUUAUUUUACACAUUACAAUUUAGAAACAGAUCCUGGUAAAAAAGGGUUAAUCCUCAACACAACUUCCCCAGUUUCAGCAUCCUCACCACCCUGGAGAAUCAUCAGGGAAAUUCACGAACCAUGCAGGGAGCCCAUGAGGACUGCAGCUCCUCUUCCACGUGGGAGAUGGGGAGGAGACCUGUCUUGGAAGCGAGCAGAGAAUCUAGUCAUUAAAGUGAGCGUGAGCCACAGAGCUCCCAUAAGACAGGCUUCCAAAGGCAGUUCAAGAGCCAGAUGUGGUCAUAGCAGCUGUUUCGACCAGACCAGACUGAUCCACCUCCAGUAAAGCUCUGCCUCCCGCCCAGCAGCACUUGAACUUUCUGCCUCCCACUCCCCCAGCAGAAUUUCUCUCUUGUGUUUUGGAGACUGAACUUUCCUGGAGCCAAACUCUGCACAGCUACGACCCCUGGAAUGUGUGCUGGAAUGUGGAGAAUACACUGUGCUCUAGGAAGCUAGCAUCUGGCAGAAUGCUGGAACUGAACAAACCUCACGCAUUUGUAUCUGCGAACUGACAGUUUGCUACAGUUUCGGGAAUAACAAGACAGCACUUAAAUCAACUUCAGUCUUGUGACAGCAGUUAAACAUUCAAAAAGAAGUGCAGGACUGUUCCAUCUGUGUAGGGCUCAUGCAAUCUCUCUGAGUAGAACCACUUUCCCUUCUGCAGAACAGAACAACGGCAUGACAGUAUUUUAAUGUAACUUCUACUGAACCCGAGUAUGAAUGAGCUUUGUUUCUUGAUAAAUAUUGUCUGUUUUUAGAUUCUAGUGCCACGGAUGCAUUUUCUUAUUGGUGCA